rnacentral:rRNA from 1 species
UGCCAGCCGCCGCGGUAAUACAGAGGGUGCAAACGUUGUUCGGAAUCACUGGGCAUAAAGCGCGCGUAGGCGGUCUCGUAAGUGUGGAGUGAAAGCCCACGGCUCAACCGUGGAACUGCUUUGCAUACUGCGAGACUCGAGGACGGUAGGGGAGAGCGGAACUCCUGGUGGAGCGGUGAAAUGCGUAGAUAUCAGGAGGAACACCGGUGGCGAAGGCGGCUCUCUGGUCCGUUUCUGACGCUGAGGUGCGAAAGCCAGGGUAGCGAACGGGAUUAGAUA